GAUGAACGCUAGCUACAGGCUUAACACAUGCCAGUCGAGGGGAAACGCUGAGAGAGCUUGCUCUCUUAGGCGUCGACCGGCGCACGGGUGAGUAACGCGUAUCCAACCUACCCAUUACAGGGGGAUAACCUUGCGAAAGUAAGACUAAUACCCCAUGGCAUUUUAUGGUGGCAUCAUUAUAGGAUUAAAGAUUUAUUGGUAAUGGAUGGGGAUGCGUCUGAUUAGCUUGUUGGCGGGGUAACGGCCCACCAAGGCAACGAUCAGUAGGGGUUCUGAGAGGAAGGUCCCCCACAUUGGAACUGAGACACGGUCCAAACGCCUACGGGAGGCAGCAGUGAGGAAUAUUGGUCAAUGGGCGAGAGCUUGAACCAGCCAAGUAGCGUGCAGGAUGACGGCCCUAUGGGUUGUAAACUGCUUUUAGAGGGGAAUAAAGUGAGCUACGUGUAGUUUAUUGCAUGUACCCUAUGAAUAAGGACCGGCUAAUUCCGUG
rnacentral:rRNA from 1 species